rnacentral:rRNA from 1 species
CUGGUGUUCGGGUUGUGUCGCCAGACGCAUUGCCCGGUAGCUAAGUUCGGAAUCGAUAACCGCUGAAAGCAUCUAAGCGGGAAGCGAGCCUCAAGAUGAGUCAUCCCUAGACCUUCAAGGUCUCUAAAGGGUUGUUGAAGACUACAACGUUGAUAGGUCGGGUGUGUAAGUGCUGUGAGGCAUUGAGCUAACCGAUACUAAUUGCCCGUGAGGCUUAACCAUACAACACCCAAGGGGUUU